rnacentral:rRNA from 1 species
AUUGAACGCUGGCGGCAGGCUUAACACAUGCAAGUCGAGCGGAGAUGAGGUGCUUGCACCUUAUCUUAGCGGCGGACGGGUGAGUAAUGCUUAGGAAUCUGCCUAUUAGCGGGGGACAACAUUCCGAAAGGAAUGCUAAUACCGCAUACGCCCUACGGGGGAAAGCAGGGGAUCUUCGGAACUUGAGCUAAUAGAGGAGCCAAAGUCGGAUUAGCUAGUUGGUGGGGUAAAGGCCUACCAAGGCGACGAUCUGCAGCGGGUCUGAGAGGAUGAUCCGCCACACUGGGACUGAGACACGGCCCAGACUCCUACGGGAGGCAGCAGUGGGGAAUAUUGGACAAUGGGCGGAAGCCUGAUCCAGCCAUGCCGCGUGUGUGAAGAAGGCCUUUUGGUUGUAAAGCACUUUAAGCGAGGAGGAGGCUACCUGGAUUAAUACUCUAGGAUAGUGGACGUUACUCGCAGAAUAAGCACCGGCUAACUCUGUGCCAGCAGCCGCCGUAAAAC